rnacentral:lncRNA from 1 species
UUUUGUUUUCUAUAAUUAACAUUGCUAACUUGCAAUACUUAUCAUAAUUAUCAUGCUCCCACUAACAUGAUGAUUAUUAGCAUAACACUUAUGCUCCCACUAGCUUUGACAUGUACUCAGAAAUCAGCUGGACUUCUAGAAAUCAAUACUUCAUUGACUUUCUUACCAAAGUUCAGAUUUCUGAUACUAGAUUGUUUUGAUAAAACUUUAUCAAAAUCAUACACCUUCCCUUAGAUAGCACACUUGUGUGUCUAAACAAUUAUGAAGAGGGAUGCCGUAAUCAUAAUGGUUAGACCUUUUUGCCACUUCUCACAAGUCCAGGUUAGUGUGCCGGUAAACCACACACGCUCCACUAACGACUUUGAGAAUGCAAAUAUCACAAUUGCUAUCUAGCUAAAAUCUACUUAGUGAAAGUGUUUCCUCACCAUCAUUUUCAUGAAUCGGAGAGAAACCUUAUGACACUUAGAUUUAAUGGCGUAUGUGUUCUUAUCCAUGUGAAUUGUCAAAACCAUAGUCACAAGACAAGGAUAAUGACAAAUCCAAACUCAUAUGGAUUGAACUCAAUCUUAAUUUCUUGCCACCUGGCAGCUCAAGGGCCUGCCAUUGCUUCCAAGUUGUUGUGCAACAAAUUGAGAACUCUAAGAACUCAUAUGCAAAGCCAACUUUAACUGGAAUGGGCACAGAAUAUGUCAACACGAUAGGUUAUAAACCUCAAGUCGUGUGCUAGUGAAGAACUUCAGGUUUUAUUCUUGAUUAGUUCUUGAGACUUUCAAGACCUUUAAGACUCCCACUGUCCUCUUGACCUAUAAGACUUCCUUGUCAAAUAUUCAAGAGAUAGUGUGGAUUCUAAUCAAGACAAACACUUCACACAAUUGGCCUAAGUUGGUCUUUGUUUUAUCCAAAACAUCACAACUUACCAAUUUCAAAUGUACAAGAGUAGAAAACUUUUACUCUUACAUUUGACAAGUGUUUUAAACCUUCUUUAAGACAUGUCACUCAAGUUACAAUCUUGGAGUAUGACUCUAAGAAUUUUUUUUUGGAACGAAGUAUGAAUCAUCUUCUUGAUUUAACCACUUCAACAAUUCAUAGCUCCUCUUCUUAGCUAUAAGAAGGCACUUAGAGGAUGAAUUGUGAUAAGGUCUCUAAAUCAUUAAGAUGAUCAUAAAAACUGAUACUAAAGUACUCUCCCAUCUUUUCAGAUUUGAGAAACUUUUAUCCUUCUACCUAAUUUGAUUCUUCUUAUUCGCUCUGCCAUACAUUGGAACCUUUUCCAAUGUCUCAGAAUUACACUUAAGCUUGUAAGUAUAACCAUAUUUACUGAGCUAUAGUAAAUUAUGACGAAUAAUCUUAUCGAUCUUUUGUGGUGGACUUGACCAGUGCACAAGACUGUGUACUCGAUCCCUUAGUCCUUCACUUGACUCACACAUCCAUGUGAACAAGUAGUUAGUCUUAAUUUUCCAAUACUUGAAACUUCUCAUUCAUCAUGCUAUACAACUUGCAUGAUUCCAAGUUCUGGUCCAAUUGAAACUUGGGUGAUGAGAAUCUUUCCUUAUUUGGUAAAUUUAGACAUUACCACAAAUGAAAGAAUCAAUAUCAUAUUUCCACUCUUGCUAUUAAUGGAAUCAUAUAAGCAACAAUCACUACUAGAAUAUAGGCCUUUAAUGACACGCAAACCAUGACACGCAGUGAUUUACGAUACGGAAAAUCAUGUGCCCUAAAAAUAAUGUCAUCUCUUCUAAAAUUUGAAGGAUUUAGAACACACAUUUUUGAGUGCCCUUAAAAUUAGUGUCAAAACGAGAAAAAAUAAAAACGGAGGGCACUUAGCAUAAAGAGUGUGUCGUCUACGCAUGUCACUUUAUAAAAUUUUCAUCAAACUCGCGUUCUCCAUCUUUAAUAGUUAACGAGGGAAAUCAAAUCCCAAAAAAUUAACCCCCCUGGGCAUUGUUCUCUCACAUCUUCUACCAGUCGAAACCCCUUUCUCUUUUCCAUGACCUAAAACUCAUUUCAUUUCCUACUUCCACCUUGAAAGAAUCGACAGAAAGCUAGGGUACCAUCAAAAUCGGCGGUAGCUAUAGAAAACACCAAACCACCUUAAAAGCAAUCAAAGGUUUAGGGCUGUGUAAAUGUAUAUCGGUAACGAAAUUAUGCUCAAGAUAAACAGAUGAAGGACCUCUCGAGAGCCAUGAAAGAGCUACUCAAUGAAAAGACUCAAUCUAUUGAGAAGAUGAUACAACGAUCCCAUGAAUCUUAAGGAAAGCAACACCAACAGGAGGCUUAAUCGGAGUUGUGCCAUUGGUCUACUACAGACGUUGACAUUUCCUCUAGUGAGCAACCCCAACUAUAUACUCCAUUCCUCACUAAACCAAGGGUUUUAGCAGAUCUAAGGGAGACAAAUACAAAUUUCUCUGAUCAGAUUGAUAAAAUUCACAUCGGGAUUCCUAGGGCACCAUUAUCGUUGCUGGACUUCAAGGCGGAAGAAAAUGAUGUUGUGGAGAUCGUCUCCCAACGAUCAUAAUUUAUGCUUUCCUAUUACGUAGCCACCGUCAUCAUUGCUCCGGAAGAAAAUCCUGCUAAGACAUCGACCUCUAUUUCUACACCAUUGUCGUUGUCUAACAAGGAUGCCUGGCAUACCUUUAGUUUCUCGUGAAGUCAAGUAUGUAAUCUUUUUUCAUAGAAUCCAUCCAGAAUAGGGCUUUUUAAAGAGGAAGCCAAAGGAUGAAUUCAUCAUGGAUCGGAGGAUCACCUCAUCUGAUGACGCAGCUCAACAAGAUCUAGUAUCUGAAAUUCGCGGUGAGAUCAAAAUCGUUAACUCUGCUUUAUCAUCGAACGAAGCAGAUCAUGCUCUAGUAAAACGUUCGAUUCAUAUCCUCUCCGAGCUCGUGAAAAAUGGUAUGAAUCUGCCCUUAAUUCUUUUGUGUUUCAGUUUCAUGUUUCUCGGAACACAUUAUCUUUUACAAGUUGGUGCUGUUGAAUUUGUGGUAGUAGUUGGCGUUGAUAUUUGUUUAUGAGGUGGUGUCCAAUAGUUAUUAGAUUGGCUUGUUAUUGUGAAAAAACACUAUCGAAAGAAGAUAUAUUAAAAAUCAUGCUUGUAGUGGAAAAUUUAAUUGCUUUUCAUGAUUGUCUAUUUCCCCUCCUGAAGUGCGUUAGGCACCAUGAUUCCAUUAGUCGCCCAAUUAGAAUUGAUUAAAGUGGUUUGGCGGCAUGCCAUGUUGGUUUACUUUUUGGUGGAUUUACUAGUUCAUACCAUGCUCUUAGAUGCUUAUUGAGGAAGUGGAGAAAGAAAGAAACACCAUUCAACGCGUAAGUUACUGUGCAAUAAAUAUAGUUAGUUCCAAGAACAAGAUUUAUAUUCUUGAAUUUAAGUUCAAGUAUACAAUAUCAUAUCUAGUUCACAUAUGUAACUUUCUUAAUGGUGAUGAUGGAGCAGAAUUUUAGCUGGUUCAAUUGCGGGUCUGUCUUUCUCCAUCCAGACUAGGGCUUUUUAAAGAGGAAGCCAGAGGACGAAUUCAUCAUGGAUCGGAGGAUCACCUCAUCUGAUGAGGCAUCUCAACAUGAUCUAGUAUCUGAAAUUCGCGGUGAGAUAGAUAAUUAAAUUGUCAAGUAACCUAUGUUUUGUAUCGUGUAAGAAGCAAGUUUUCAAAAUUUAGUUUUUUUUUCUGCUCAACAGUGUGCUUAUAAUUCUGCAAAAUCAAAGAAAAAGUUCACCCUUUGUGGAAGCUCAUGGAGACACGGGGAUUCAUUACUCUUGCUUUAUGAUGUGUUCAACAAUUUUAAGUCAUGUAUGAUUUUGUAAUGCGACCCAAAAUCUUAACAAAAUCAUACUAAGAUUUUUAUCAAAAAAUUGGCCGUGUUACUAAACCUGUAUACAAUGCUAUAAGGAAAUGUUGUAGAGGUUCCCUAGUAGAUAUUGCAUCACUCUCUUCUUACCCAUCAACCAUAAACGACUCUGAAUUUAAUGAUUUACAAGAAUACCCUUCUACCAAUACCCUGUUUAAAAAUCCAAUCAUCCACAAAAUCAUGUUUGGAUCAUAACGCAUACUCCACAUCAGCAACAUUCAGGAAAACAUUCCUACUUUAUUUAUCUUUGACUUUUGUAGCCUUUGUUGUCCUUUGUCUUUAAAAGUUUAUGGAUGCGCCAUUUAAGACUAGCUGGCAUGUAGUGAUUGGAGUUGUUUCGUCAACAACUUUUCUAUCUUCAUUUAUUGGAAUCUUUCAGGUAGGUCAUGUGAUCUAACUACUCAUGUGUAUCUAAAUAUUUGUAUUUAUAUCUAAGUAUGUAUUUUUUUUUUAAUUUAAGGGGUUGAUUUGCUUGCAUAGACAAGCGACAUCACAAGACCACAAGUUGGUGUACUGAUUUGCAGGUGGAUUAGCUGCAUUAUUAGUGCUUUGGGAGAAGAAAGGAAGAAGAUGAGAACUUGGAUUGUUUGUUCUUCCAUGUGCUGGGGAAUCUUUGUUGUAUAUAUUAGUCAACUUCCUUGUUCUUCCAGAUAUCAAAAAUGCUGAGGUACUAAACUAAAUUAUGCGUUCUACCCAAAAAAAUUGAGAAAUUACAUUUUUGGUCUCUGAUUAUAGCUGGUUUUUGCAAUUUUGAUUCUAAAAAGUUUUUUCUUGCAAUUUUUGGUCCUUAUUUGAGGUUUCUGUAACAAUAUGGAUCAAUAAAAUUUGUUGUUUUGGGGACUGUAUGGACAAUGUUUUCUAACAUUGGAAGCUUAACUGAUAUGUUAUUUCUAACUUUUUUUUUAUUAAUUUACAAUAAAAAAAACUUGGAUUUGAAAAUAAUUUAUAGGUUAAAUAUGUGUAUGAAUUUAAGAAAGAGUUGUUUUAUUCAAGUGUUUUUGCUAACACCAUGAAAUGGUAAAACGUCAGUCAUUUAAGUGAUUGUAGCUUUUAGCAUUUGCAUAUACCAGAUGUUGCUAUUCAACUUCUUAUACCUAAUUAACCGUCUCUCCCAUUCCAUUCACAGUCUAUAAAACAAUGGAUGUCGGUUCAUAAAUGUAAAAGUUGAAUUUUAUUUUUGUUUAUAUAGAAACUCUGUAAAUUGUUGAUUUAUAUGCUUUGUAGAGAAUGGACACUUCUCUCCUGAUAAAUGAAGAUUUUCACUAUCAUUUUUGUGUUAUGAUUACUGUCAUGUUUCUCAUACUCCACCUGUAAGAGUAAGAACUGGUGGUUUUCAAGAUCCAGGUCCUAGUCAUCAAGGAGAAAGUAGUGAGAAUAAUAUAGUAACAAAAAUUUAUGAUAAUCUUUGGAAAGUUUUUGAUGGUUAGUGAUAAUUUUUGCCUUUUUUUUAAUUACAGUCAUGUUCCUCAUACUCCACCUGUAAGAGUAAGAAUUAAUGGUUAGUGAUAAUUUUUGGCUUUUAUAUUUUUAUUUUACAGUAACAGAAAUUUAACCACAUUAAAAUUAAACUAUGCAUGGUGCAGGAAUGUCUGAUAAUCUUUGUAAAGUUUUCGAUGAUGCUCACAUGUCAUCAAGAGCUUAUUAGAUUCAGAUUCAUCGUCAUAAUAAUUAAUCAUUCUCUUCUCCACCUCCACCUCAAAUGGAUGAAUUACCCCUGUCAUGACCAUUGAUGUAGGAGGGUCCAGAUCAUAUCCUGUUCAGACAACAAUAGGGUCCUCACCGGACCCCACAUCAUCUACUGGAUCUUUUGUAUAUGAUGUGGAAACGGAAACACCUGCCACAUUCUUUCAAGAUCGUCAUGGCUUUGGCUUUGACAACAGUGGAGCUUUAUCUGAUAUUCUAGAAGUUGAUGAUGCUGAUGUUGAUGAUAGAGUAAGUUUCUAUUUCUUUGCUUAAAUUUACCAUCAACUUGUUUUUUUCUUUUUCUUUUAAAAAGGAUUAAAUGUACAUUCUUUGACUUUUUUAUAGCAGUGUUGUGUUCUUAUACUUAUAUUACUACUAAAAUUCUAAGUAAUGUCAUCCCAGUAUAAAUUAAGCAAUACUUACUGCUAUAAGUGUAACUGGGCUGAUUUUUCAACUCACUACUAUUGCAUUCAUAUUUCAAUUUUAGGAGCUGGCCUUUAUUGAAGAGGAUGUUAUUGGCGGUUCACCAAAGAAGUAAGUGGAGUUUCUAGCAUUGUAUUAUUGUUAAUUGCUAUUUGUUUUAGACUGGAAAAGAAGAAGAGAUUAUUUUCUUUUAUGCACUGUGCUGUAUACAAAAAAGUUUACCAUUUUUAUAUAUGCGAAAAUCUUUAGUCUAAAAUAGAAACAUUUGGUGAAUAAAAAAACUAAUGAAAUCAUGUCAAAAAGCCCUGAAACAAAAGUAAAGAUUCUAUAAUAAGAAAUUAAUGCUAAUUUUUGUAUUAGGCUGAGUGCAGGUUGAUUCAAAGGAUUGAUGUCCAUGUCAAGGUAACCAACUUGUACCUCUUUAAUUAGAUGUCAACAACAUGAACAUAUGAGUGAUAUUCUAAUAUUUUUGUGUAUGUUUCCAGAACCUUUACUGGGCAGACAGUGGUGAUAUGUUAGCAAUUUCUAGUGAUUCAUCAUUUUAUAUACUACAGUACCAUGCUAUUUUUCAUGUAGCACAUUUAUUUUAUUGUAAACAGUUUAUGGAUAUAGUCAAAGAGCUUAGUACUAAGGAGCCAAAACGAAAGAUAUUGUCCUGCUCUUUUUAGAAAGGUUAGCAAAAUUGUCUAAAUAUUUAUCAUACUUAUAAUAGUUUAUUAAUUAAUCCAAAUUCCAAAUUCCAGAUUUAUUAUAUCUUUUUUACCAUUUAGGAGGAUCUUGAGAAAUCUCUAGCAAAAGCUUCUACUCAAAUUUAUUCUAUCUUUUUUGGGGUGACUUUGUUGAUUGGUAUGUUUUUUGGGUACUAAUACCAUGUAUUUUUUUGUGUCUUCUUUUUACAAUAUGAAGGAAGGAAUAUUCAAAGUUGGUGUUUGAUUGUUUUUCUUUUGUGUAAAUGCAGUCAGGUUCUCCAGAAUAAGUAGAGUGUCGUGACUUAAAGCUUGCUGUUCCUGGAACUUAUUGUGCAGGUAUAAUAGUAAUAUUAUGAAAAUGGAUUUAGUUUCUGAUGAAAGAGUUGGAUGAGAUGGAAAAGCUGAAUGUCAGGUUGUCAGUUGCAGUGGAAGAGGUAAAAUUCAGAAUAUUUAUCUAUCACACGACCUACAGCUUUCUCUCUUUUCUAACACCCCCUCAAACUCAAGAGGGUAUGCUUGUGCUUGUAUGUUGUAAUUAAUUGUGUGAUUUGGAAAUGUGACAUAAUAUUUAUCUAUCACAUGACCUACAGGUUGCAUUUGUCAAAUUUGUUACAUGCACACUCAUAUGACUUGAUUACUUGACUUUUUCUCAGGUUUUUCUGUUACAUGUUUGUUCUGCUUUCAAUGUCAUUGGGAGGGAUAUUUUUGUAAUUCUUUUAUGGUGUUGAUUCAAAGUAACAGAUAUAAGUAUGUCAUUCCCACAACCUUAUACCCUGAAUAAAUAGAAUUAUUAUAUAAGACAUGAAUAAAAAGUAGCGAGCAUUUUAGAACACCUAUUUGAAUAAUUUGCAUCUUGGACAUAUGUAUAUAUACUUUGUAUUGAGAUUUAAGAACAAUUUUCAAUUUGCAGGUAUGCUAUAUGUGGGGAUUUAACGCUGAAAAAAGAUAGUAGCUACAAGACCAUCUACUAAAGCAAGGUUGGUGUAAGAGUUGAUGACGAGAUCAUUGUUCCAAUACCUUCAGUGAGUUAUGAUGGUGUCUCUUAAAAGCAAUGUAGUAUUAGGUUAUAUAGUUAGGGAUGAUUAUUUGUAUUUGACAUGUUAGUGCAAUGAAUUAUCUUUCUUAUUUGUUGUAUUUUACUUUGUAUUUUGUAUGACAUUAACUAUUGUGCAAUGGAUUGUAUUUUUUGUAUAUGGUAUUUAAUUUUCUAUUAUGAGAAAUUAAAUGCAAAAUUAAUUUAAAAAUUAAUAAAUAUAUAAAUUUUUUUUAAACAUUUAAAUUUACGAUACGCAAAAAUGUGUGUCAUCUUCAUUUAUGACAUGGCCUUUCUUGACAGGGGCUUUUUUGAUACGCAUUAUGUGUUAUUAACACACACGUCGUAAGGUUACGACACGCGAAUGCAUGUCGUCUUCCUUUAUGACAGGGCCUUCCUUGAUACGCAUUGCGUGUCGUAAAUGCACGUCGUAAUUGUGCGUCGUAAAUGAGCGUCGUAAAUGCGCGUCGUCUCUCUUUAUGACAGGGCCUUCCUUGACGCACAUUUGCGCGUCGUCUGAGCCUUUUACGACGCGCAAUGAGCGUCGUAAAAGGCUGUUUUUCUAGUAGUGAAUUUUUCCUCAAAUGCGAUUGUAACGAUAUUUUAAAAUAAAUAAAAUCAAAAAUUUUCUUUUAUUUUAAAACUUUGCGGAAAAACUUAUCCUUACAAUCCAUACGAAAACUUGUUGUUAUCUAUUCCUAAGCGAUAUCUCAUAACUCCUAACAAGUAGCUCAAGAAUCCGAUAUUCAAACUAUGAGAUAGAAAUCCAUCUACGCGAUCAGAUUUAACAUAUUUUUCCUUUAAGUUUCUUUACUUUUCUUUGAUUCUUAAAACAGCAACAUGUGAGCCAGUCACAUCAUAUAUCAAGAAUCUCAUAAUAGAAACUUAGGAGAGUUAGAUAGUGGACUUCACCUGAAGUAGAGUCAAACUUGUUGACUUUAACACCCUUAGGUAAAUUGGCAGCUUCGCAACCAAUGCCCUUUCCUUUGCCAAUUCAACAUAUGGACGCUUUGGUAAUGGAAUAUUUGAAGAGGGAUGUCGUAAUCCAAGCUAUAAAAUAUGAAAUAUUAAGGCUAGGACCCAACAAACUAUUUUAUAACCUAGAAGAGGGAUGUCGUAAUCCAAGCUAUAAAAUAUUUGAACGUGGAUGAAUGACGAUUCACCAAUUUCCACCAAGAUAAACGAAAUGUAUUAUUAGGUUUUAAUUGAUUUUAAAACUCCUAGAUCUUUGAGAUUCAUUGAACUAUUCAAUGGCAUGUUUCAAUCUCGAGUGUGCCCUUUAGGUUUUGUGACUGGGAUGCCGAGGAUCACAAAACAAGGUGUGAAGUAACCAUGCAAAUUACUUGGUACCCUUAAGUGUUUACCCCUCAAUUGAUGUGCCGGUUAACCACACACGCUCCAUCGAUACUAUGAUAAACAUUAAGUUACUCUUUGCAUACCUUGUUAAAUACGAGUUAGUGUGUUGGUUAACCACACACGCUCCACUAACCGACUUAAACAAAGUGCAAGGUGUAAUUUCAUGGAUUAGCACCUUAUUCACAUUUUCCUAAGUAACUAAGAUUGGGUAUUAUUAAGAGUUUAGUUACUUAGUAUUUAUCAUUAAUACUUUUAAUGAAGGGAGAAUUCUAGUCCUGUCAAACCCGUUCGGCUAACGACCCUCCACCAGUCAAGCAAGCGGUGGGUGAGAGUGGACACCCAUUAAGUUGCCAUUUUAUAGGCAACAACCUUAUACCCACCUUAUAGACCGGCUUCGUGAAUGAGGCGUACUAGCGGUAAGACUGACUUUACUCUUAUACAUAUAUAUAUUAUUAACUUAUAAUAUUAUAAAGUAUAAGGGUUGAAUUUUAACUUUUAAAAUUCUAAGGGCUAACUUGGAAUUAAAGUAUUCAUAAGAGAAAACUUUUCAAAUUCCAAAACUUGAGGGCAAGUUUUGAAACUAUUCAAAACUAAUUAAUUCCAUAACUUAUGUGUUUAAAAUAGUUUUAAUCCAAAAACUCUUCAAGUUCCAUAACUUGAGGACAAGUUAUGCAAGACUUUAAACUAAUAAAAUAAUUAACUUUUCUUUAUUUUAUAACUUAUGGAAUGAAUUAGGGUUACACUUUUUAUUUAUUUAUUAUUUUAUGAAGAGACUCCUGGUCCUCCAUAACUUGAGGACAANGAGUCAUAAAACCAUUUAAUUAGAACUAGACUCUUCAUUUUGUAACCUUUGCCAACUUUUAUGAGUUUUAUGAAACUUAAAUGUGACUUUUCAUAUAACUUGAGGACAAGUUACAAAAACACAUUUUAGAAUCAACUCUUAGAUUAAUUUGGAUUGAAAACAACUAUUUCUCUCAACUUUUCUAUUAAUCAAAGCAACUCAUAAGAACAAGAUAAUUCAAAUCAAACUUUUUCAUGUAAUUAGUAUAAACCUUAAACUAAUACAUAACAUGAAUCUAUUGAUAAUUAUCUUUGAAAUUGGAAUAGCAUGAACAUUACCACAUCAAAACCAAGUUUAUAAGUCCAAAAACAUCUUAGGGUAAUGUUCCUAGUCCAAUUCCAGCCAAGAAAAUCGAAUUUAUGCUGUCUGGGGGUCCAACUCGUCGAGUGCACAAACCAACUCGGUGAGUUGGAUGCAUAUUUCCUUGGACUUGGAAAUUCCAUUCAUGGACUCGGCGAGUCUCUGGGCAGACAGCAUCAAAACUCGAUUUUUCAGCUACUUUUGCAAGUAUAACAAGAAAACAAGCCUAGGCGCUGAUACCACUGUCGGGUUUUGAGCAUUCUAUCACUCCUAAGUGUACAGGCAACCCUAAAUACUUUGGAUCUAUGUUUGCCCUAUUAUACAUACAAAUAUGAACAUCCAAGGUAUUAUCCUAAUCUAGCAUACAAAACAAUGAAUAUAACAAGAUACAAUAUAUACCUCUUUCUUGUAGAAAGUCUUCAUGAAGCUUGAUUGCCAAGUGCCUCAAGUGUGACACCUCAAAUGGUUCACACAACACCAAAUACACUUGGAAUAACUUGAGAGAAUUCUACAUUUCAUGAAAAUCGGCUAGCCCUUUCUUACUCUCUCUAGUGCUGAUUUUGGUCAAGAAUAAGAUGCAUAUAUAGUUAGGGUUACACCAUGUAAACCCUAAUUGACAUGGCCUUUCAUUUCCAUGAUCCAUGGGUACAAAUACACCAUGGAGCAUCCAUGGAGUAUCAUAUGGGUUUUAGCCCAACUAGAUAAUCCAUGGAGCAUUAGCCUACUAUAUAAGUAUGGAUGAUUUGCACAAUCAACCCAUAUAUUUAAUUUGUCUUCUUUUGAUCACUUAAUUAAUCCUAGAUUAAUUCUUGAUGCCAUGCAACCCAAAUGGACCAUGCCGGGUCGGGUCAGGUCUUACCAAUUAUAGUUAUGGACAUAGAUAUUAAUCCAACAAUUACUGUCUCAGAAUUACUCGUGAUAAAUUCCAUGAAGUAAUUUUCUGAGCGUGGGUUAAUCCAAUACUUAAAUCUCCAUUUCAAAGUACUCAUGAAUAUUAUAGCAACACUACUGCCAUGUCCAAAACUCUUUAGACAAUCUGCAAUCUAACUCAUGACAAAGUUGAUUCACCACUUACUUCGAAAAGUAUGAUCGAAUGUGGAUGUUUGAACAAACAAAUUAUUCUGGAAGUAAAACAUGCAAAAAUAAAACAUAAAAUAAAUAAUAGACAGAAGGUAGUAAUCCAACUCAUAAAUAAAUCUCCGUUAUUUAAUCACCAAAAGUCAAUUACAUUUAUUUCGUUACUCGUUUCAAAACUAACUAUCUAAAUGCUAAAAACAAUAUAAUCCUUCAGACUAAUGCUCCUAGCAUGUUGUAUGUGCUUGACCCUACCGAGACCCUUUGUGAGGGGAUCUGCAGUGUUUUCUUUUGACGAUACCUUCUUCAUGACGAGGUAACCUUCUUCUACCCUAUGUCUGAUAAAAUGAUUUUUUUGUUCGACAUGUUGUGAUCUUCCUUGAUCUCUUGGAUCCUUUUGUUAAGGUAACCUAUAAUGCUCCGCAAAUUCUGGCUAGUCAAUUUAGAGACAAUGAGCGUCAAAAAUAAAAUUUUUGAUAUAAGGUUAUUUAGAAUAAAUAAUCCUAACCAAAGUAUAGUAUAUGUCACAAGGGUUUCGUACAUAUAAAGAAUGCUGAAAUCCGAGUUAUGAGAAAUUACUUUUUAGCCUUAGGGAUCUAAACUAUAGUAAUAGUAUAUGUUAAACUGAGAACGUACGUAAAAAGAACGUCCAAAUCUGACUUUGUAUGAGGAAGUUAUGACUUUUCUAAGAUUUAGCAUAACAAUGCAGAACCCGAACUUGAAUUUUAGAUCGAUCGAUUUUUAGCCGACACAAUCUAAAUGAGAAUUGAAGAUCUCGUUAAUAGGAACUCAACAAUAUAAAGGCAGAUGAAAACAGACGUCAGAUGACAAAGUUAUGAAUUUUUAACGGACUUUAUUUGUCGAAGCUUGUUAAAUUAUAAUUUUAAAAAUAAUAUCAAAAUUAACCGAUGGAGUCUAAAUCAAAGUUGUAGAUCACAUCGCUACCUACACGUUGAUAUAAAGAACAUAAAAUAAAAAGCUUGUAUGUAAAAGUUAUGAAAUUUAGAAGUUUAAAUUUUGGGAUUCAGAUACGAGGGUACACGUGGCCAAAUCCUCAGCUUCUCUUCCUCUCCACGGCUUCGCAUGUGAUGGUGACACGUGCCUGCGGUAUGGGGAAUCUGGUUUGAAGAUACGCAUAGGGUUGUUGGAUUUCAGAACAGAUUAAAUGCCAAAUGGUCCUGCCCUUUAGUGUUUCAUGUAUGGCUUCUGUUUGUACAUAGUAGUUGAAAAGUAUUGUUUAACACUUAUAAAACAAUAUCGCUCGUAGACCUUGAGCUAAUUAUUCGCAAUAAAUAUUAGAAUAAAACUUAGCAAUAAUAAUGAUAGGUUUCGUCGAAGGAAAAGACGAUUAUUAAAAGCGAAGCACUGUCCAAAUUUUGAGUCAUCAAUUUAACAAGUGAGUGCGUAGUUAAAUUCAUCUUACACAUAGAUAUGAAGUAUUAAAUAUAAAUUAUGUGCUAUGUGUGCAUAUUAUCCGUGGUCUUGAUAUCUAUGAUGGAUGAACAAAAUAUACACGUUUUACUUGAUUUAAACUAUAUAUGUAUUUUUAUACCUAUAAAUAUAUCGGGUAAAGAUGGGUAGAUGAAUGAUGAGAGAUGAAAGAUGAUAUACAUGAUGAGAGGUGAAAGAUGAUAAGAAGCCUUCACUGAUGCGAUGAUCCAGUCAUCUACUAGAGCAUAGAUGACAACCACAUACUAUUCUAGACAGUCCAGUAGAACGCUAACAGGCUCGCAACCUGUAGGUGUUGUGAACAAUAUGUUCACCAAAUGUUCACUAAAAAACCCCCGCGGCUAUGGACUUAGUGCCUUACAAAUGAACACUGGCAGCUAUGGAUUUAGUGCCCUAUAGAUAAAUAUUGGCAGCAAUGGACUUCGUGUGUAAUAGAUAACAUCGGCCGCUAUGGACUUAGUGUCUGUUAGAUAAACCCUGGAAGUGAUGGACUUCGUGCCUAUUCCUUAGGACAAUCCUUAGGAAGAAAUAUUAAUGAAUAAAUGAUUCUUAGGGAUGAUACUUAAGAAUAAAUAAGAUAAUGGGGAUGGGUAAUUGGGUUAAUUGUUUGAUGAUGAAACAUAUUAACUAUAUUAUUGUGGGUUGAAAACCCUUUAUACACACCAGGUUUCCCAACCCGACCCACUUGGUUUAUUUGGAUCAUAGGUAUCGAUACAAAGACACAUUACAUUGAGAGAUUAAAGGAGAUGUAAAUCAUUGGUGUAAAUGAAUGUAAUGUUUGUUUAUGCUUAUGUUUCUGUAUUGACGACGACAUCCCAAUGUUUUAAUAUAAAUUAAAUACAUUUAUUCGGAAAUGCUUUAAUAAUAUUAUUUUCAAGUUUUUCUUGGAACAAAUUCUGCAAUAAUAUUCUUUAGAAUGAAUAAUCUGAUUUUUAAAUAGGCAUAAAUAAAAGUUUUAAAAUGACUAUUAAUUUGGGGAUAUCACACAACCGCCCCUUCUUUAUCACAAAAAAUCUCCAUUAACUCCUUGAUGGCUGGUACAACUCCAAGGUCUCUGAUGAAUUUCUUCGAUGAAAUAGCCUCCUUUGAUGCUUCUCAUACCGCUAUGUACUCUGAUUAACAAGUAGAAUCAACCACUGUCUCCUGUUUAGAACUUUCCAGGUUACCGCUCCUACACUAAGGGUAAACACCCAGCUAGAUUGAGAACGAAAGUUGUCUCUGUCUGUCUAAAAGUUGGUGUCACUAUACCCAAUUACUCUUAAGUUAUCACUACCACCAAGCACCAGGACCCACUCCUUAGUUCUUCGCAAAUACUUAAGAAUAUUCUUAACUGCUACCAGUGAGCUUUACCUCGAUUUCCUUGAUAACUACUGACCAUGGUCAAAGCAAAUGCCACAUCAGGGCGAGUACAUGUCAUAGCAUACAUGAUAGAUCCAACGGCAUAAGCAUAUGGAACUCUACUCAUUUCUACUAUAUUUGCAUCAAUACUCGGGCUCUGAGUCUUACUCAGUUUGGUACUACUCUGUAUAGGCAUUUCUCCUUUCUUGGAAUACUCCAUACUAAAACGUUUUAGUACCUUUUCCAAGUAUAUACAUUGACUGAGUCCAAUUAGCCUCUCCUAGAUCCUUCAUAGUGAAACACUUUCCAUGCCAAGACAUAACCUCUUGCAAAGUUGGAAGUUUGUUUCCUAUAAGAAGUAUGUCAUUAACAUACAAAAGUAGGAAGUUUACUAUACUCCCACUAGCUUUGACAUAUACACAAGAUUCAUGUUUACUUCUAGAGAAACCAAAAUCUUUUAGCUUCUCUUUAAAACGAAGAUUCCAUCUACAAGAAGCUUUUUUCAAUCCAUAUAUUGAUUUCUAAAGUUUACACACUCUAUUUGGAUACUUUGCAUCUACAAAACCCUCUGGCUGACUCAUGUAAACAUCCAUUUUUUAAAUUUCAUAGUCAUGAAACGCAGCUAUGGCUAGCAUUACCCUAAUAGAUUUUAUCUUAGUUACUAGUGAGAAGGUCUCAUUAUAGUGAACCCUUGGGGUUUAAGUAAAUUCCUUCGCAACCAAUCGAGCCUUGAAGGUGUGUACAUUUCCAUCCAUGUCUGUCUUCUUCUUGAAGAUCCAUUUGCACCCAACUAUCAUGUGACCUGGUACAUUAUCAACCAAAUUCCAAACUUGAUUGUCAUACAUGGACUUGAUCUCGUUGUCCGUUGCCUCUUUCCAUUUGGCUGAGUCAGGGCCUGCCAUGGCUUCCUUGUAGUUAGCUGGUUCAUCUAAAUUUACCAGUGUACCACCACUUAUAAAUGUAUCACCAUCUAUAGUAAUAUGGAAACCAUAAACUCAUGUGGCAUUCUAACUCUACUAGAACGUCUAAGAUGUAAUGACGUCAACUGGUUCUACUGGAAUUACUUCCUCAGAUUAAGCUCUAGCAUUUUCAAAAGUUCCUUCGUCGUUUGACUCUUGAAUUUAUUCAAGAUGAAUGGUACUCCUAAUGUCCUCAUUGCAUAUGAUCUCUCUCUCUCUCUCUCUCUCUCUCUCUCUCUCUCUCUUUCUCUCUCUCUCUCUCUCUCUUGAAAGACUCCCUUUCGUACUACGAUGACCACGUUCUCACAAGGUCUGUAUAACAAAUAUUCAAAGGACUUCUGUGGGUGGCCGAUGAAAAUACAUCUCUCACUUUGACGUUCAAGCUUGUUGUGAGUCUCUCGUCUAACGAAAACUUCACAUCCCCAAACCUUGAUAUGUGCCAAUGAGGGAACCUUUCCUAUCCACAUCUCAUGAGGUGUUUUGGCAACUUUAUUUGUUGGGACAAGAUUAAGAAUGUGGACGAUAGUCUCUAAGGAAUACCCCCAUGAGAUUAGAAGUGAAGCUCGACUCAUCAUGGAACGAACCAUGUCUAACAAGGUCCGAUUAUGCCUCUAAGCCACACCAUUAAGUUGUGGUGUUCUAGGAGGUGUCAUAUAUGAAGCUAUUCGACAUUCUUUGAGGUAGUCGUGAAACUCAAUACUAAGAUACUCACCGCCUCUAUAAGAUCUAAGCAUCUUUAUCUUCCUGCCCAAUUGAUUCUCGACUUCAUGUUUAAACGCUUUGAACUUUUCAAAGCUUUCUGACUUAUGCUUGAUUAAGUAUAUAUAGCCAUGUCUAAUAUAAUCAUCAGUGAAGUCACAUAGAAUUUCUUUUCAUCCCUUGUGGUAGAUCUGAAGGGCCCACACACAUCUGUGUGUUUGAGAUCCAACAAUCCUUCGCCUCUUUCACAAGAACCAGUGAAGGGUGAUUUUGAAAUCUUUCCCCAUAAACAAGCCUAACAUGUAUCAUCUGACCUUAAGUCAAAUGAUUCUAACAAUCCAUACUUUUGGAGUUGGGCCAUGUGUUUCUUAUUAAUGUGUCCAAGACAACAAUGUCACAAGCAUGCUUUAUCAUACCAUUAGAUGAAUCAAUUUGAAAAACACUAUUUUGUAAAUUGUCUACAAUCAUCAAAGUUUCAUACACACCAUCACAAGGUAAAGCUUAAAAAUAAAAAACACCAUUUUUAUAAGCAUAAAUAGAACCAUUAUCAUAAUUAAAAGUAUAUCUAAAACCUUGUUUAAACAAAGAGUGAAAUGAAAUGGUGUUUCGUUUCAUCUCUAACGAGUAGCAACAAUUUAUUAAUUCUAACCCUAUCCCACUACUAAGCACUAAGCUAUCAAAUCCAAUCUUGGUGACAAGUGAAGAUUGUCUAUUCCACUUGAUCAAGUCCAUACUUUCAUGCUCCACAUCCUCACUUCUUAUAACCCUAGUAAAUCUAAACAAUUUGAAACCCACAUCCUGUAUUAAGGACCCAAGAUCAAGAAUAUGAUGAGUUCUUAGAUAAGAUCGCGUAAAUACCUACCGAUGUUGGCUCUACCUUGCCAUCCUUGAAAUCCUGCAAGUAUUUUGGGCAACUUCAUUUCCAAUGCUCCUUUUCAUUGCAAUAGAAUCAAGUAGCCUCCAAGGGAUCAGAAACAGGAGGAGCAUCAGAACAGGAUUUUCCUUUCGGUCCUGUACUUGAAUUCCCAGCUUGGGAAUUUCCCAUAUAGAUUUUUUUUGGAGGGCCUUUUUGAUGGGUUUUGAGCAUUCUAACACUUCCUAAGUGUACANNNNNNNNNNNNNNNNNNNNNNNNNNNNNNNNNNNNNNNNNNNNNNNNNNNNNNNNNNNNNNNNNNNNNNNNNNNNNNNNNNNNNNNNNNNNNNNNNNNNGCAAAUGCAAGAAUUCCAAACUCAUGUCAUUUACUGAAAUCUGUUGUAUUCUAAACUUAUAUGAGUUGAUCCUCUUGUAAUGAUUAUGCACAAUGUCAGAAAGACUUGACAAUAAUCAUUAAAGAGUAUUCCAAAGGAGAUCAGCUCCUUGGAAACAUCCUUNAGUUUCCUUAAUCUUACACAGAUUGAAAAUUCUAACUUUGAAACAUUUCCAGAUUCCAUUUUGACUAUCACUUCUGAACAAGAGUUGCCUCCUUACAGAUUAUGUCAAUAUGGUCCUUCCAGAAUUAUCACUAUACUUCCAACUGUCCUUGAGCAACCAAUCUUUGGUAAACCUUAGAUUGUCCUCGACAAUUGUUUAAUCCUUUUAGUCAUAUCCAGUUCUAAACCUUUUCCCUUCUUAAUGCCCCAGGCAUUUGGAAAAUUUUAGAAAGGAUGAAUAUAGCACAUGUAAUCGAUCCUAUAUCCGAAGCAUAUGGGACACGAUUCAUGAUGUCUCACAUAAAGAUUAAACUAGUCUUUUGCUAUAACAUUUCCAUUUCAAUUUGCCAAGCUCUCAUAAUUCAAAUUAUGAAAAGGGAUGUCGUAAUCAUAAUUGAAUUUUAGAACAAAAAUAAUGGACCCAUAUACAGAAUUUCCUUAUGUUGAGCGAUUCCAACAUGAAAUUCAUAUAUUUCCUUGACUAAAUGAUUAAAAUCUCACUAAGCUUAUAGAUUUGAGAUGAAGUAUAAUUUCCUCUCCCUUAAUUAUAGCAAAACCACUCUUUCCCAAUUGAAACUUUUGUUUUCUAUAAUUAACAUUGCUAGCUUGCAAUACUUAUCAUAAUUAUCCUGCUCCCACUAUCAUGAUGAUUAUUAGCAUAACACUUAUGCUACCACUAGCUUCGACAUGUACUCAGAAGUCAGAUGACUUUCUUACCAAAGUUCAGAUUUCUGAUACUAGAUUGUUUUGAUAAUACUUUAUCAAAAUCAUACACCUUCCCUUAGAUAGCACACUUGUGUAUCUAAACAAUUAUGAAGAGGGAUGCCGUAAUCAUAAUGUUUAGACCUUUUUGCCACUUCUCACAAGUCCAAAUUAGUGUGCCGGUUAACCACACGCGCUCCACUAACGACUUUGAGAAUGCAAAUAUCACAAUUGCUAUCUAGCUAAAAUCUACUUAGUGAAAGUGUUUCCUCACCAUCAUUUUCAUGAAUCGGAGAGAAACCUUAGGACACUUAGAUUUAAUGGUGUAUGUGUUCUUAUCCAUGUGAAUUGUCAAAACCAUAGACACAAGGCAAGGAUAAUGACAAAUCCAAACUCAUAUGGACUGAACUCAAUCUUAAUUUCUUGCCACCUGGCAGCUCAAGGGCCUGCCAUUGCUUCCAAGUUGUUAUGCAACAAACUGAGAACUCUAAGAACUCAUAUGCAAAGCCAACUUUAACUGGAAUGGGCACAGAUAUGUCAACACGAUAGGUUAUAAACCUCAAGUCGUGUGCUAGUGAAGAACUUUAGGUUUUAUUCUUGAUUAUUUCUUGAGACUUUCAAGACCUUUAAGACUCCCACU